rnacentral:rRNA from 1 species
GACGAACGCUGGCGGCGUGCUUAACACAUGCAAGUCGAACGGAAAGGCCCUGCUUUUGUGGGGUGCUCGAGUGGCGAACGGGUGAGUAACACGUGAGUAACCUGCCCUUGACUUUGGGAUAACUUCAGGAAACUGGGGCUAAUACCGGAUAGGAGCUCCUGCUGCAUGGUGGGGGUUGGAAAGUUUCGGCGGUUGGGGAUGGAUUCGCGGCUUAUCAGCUUGUUGGUGGGGUAGUGGCUUACCAAGGCUUUGACGGGUAGCCGGCCUGGGAGGGGGACCGGCCACAUUGGGCCUGCGAUACGGCGCAGACUGCUACGGGAGGCAGCAGUGGGGAAUAUUGCACAAUGGGCGGAAGCCUGAUGCAGCAACGCCGCGUGCGGGAUGACGGCCUUCGGGGUGUAAACCGAUUUCGCCUGAGACGAAGCGUGAGUGACGGUAAUGAGUAAAGAAGCACCGGCUAACUACGUG